GACGUAGGGAGCGAGCGUUGUCCGGAUUCAUUGGGCGUAAAGAGCGCGCAGGCGGUUUGGUAAGUCGGAUGUGAAAACCCGGGGCUCAACCCCGGGCGUGCAUCUCGAUUCUGCCCGACUAGAGGUAGGUAGGGGAGAUCGGAAUUCCUGGUGUAGCGGUGAAAUGCGCAGAUAUCAGGAGGAACACCGGUGGCGAAGGCGGCAUCCUGGACCGGUAUUGACGCUGAGGCGCGAAAGCGUGGGGAGCAAACAGG
rnacentral:rRNA from 1 species